ACUUUGAUCAGCUCGCCCUAAAUUAGAGCAGAAGCGUUAGCCAAAAUGCAAGCAACCCGGGAAUUUGAGCUUGAAUACAAGUCAGAGCUCGCAGGACUGUGUUGGUCAUGAAAGCAUCUUUAUUCUUGAUCUGCAGGAAAGAUUUCCUCGUGCUGUUUUCUGUGCAGAACUGAUGGGAUCGGGAUUACUGUCUAUCAGGCGACAAGGGAACCCGCCAGCUCACAGAAGAAGAACCCCGAAUCUUUUGAUGUUCACGCAACUCUGUCUCUGCUGAAAGAGCCUCUCCUUUCCUUAACCCCGAUCACCAGUCAAUGCACCCACCUCCAGAUUUUCAGCAAGGAAGAGCAAUGGAAGCAAAGUUAACUGGCAGAAAAGAGCUGGAAGGCAGGUCGCUCUAAUUAUGCAGGAGCCUCCCUGGAGCGUUUGGAUGCCCAAAUCCUACUGACUUUGGACAGCUGGCUGGAGCUUCCCCAGGUGCACUUCUGCGUUUGAGGACAGAACUCUGCCUUUGCGUUUCACACACCAUCUUACCUGAACGGCCACACUGUAGGGAUCUGAGACUUCCCAGAA